rnacentral:tRNA from 1 species
GCGAAAGUGGCGGAAUUGGUAUACGCGCUAUCUUGAGGGGGUAGUGGAGCUUGCUCCUUGGGGGUUCGAGUCCCCCCUUUCGCA